UACGUAGGGUGCGAGCGUUAAUCGGAAUUACUGGGCGUAAAGCGUGCGUAGGCGGUUCGUUAAGUCAGCUGUGAAAGCCCCGGGCUCAACCUGGGAACUGCGGUUGAAACUGGCGAACUAGAAUCUGGCAGAGGGGGGUGGAAUUCCACGUGUAGCAGUGAAAUGCGUAGAGAUGUGGAGGAACACCGAUGGCGAAGGCAGCCCCCUGGGCUGAGAUUGACGCUCAGGCACGAAAGCGUGGGGAGCAAACAGG
rnacentral:rRNA from 2 species